rnacentral:rRNA from 1 species
UCACAAGCAGCCGCGGUAAUACGUAGGUGGCAAGCGUUGUCCGGAUUUAUUGGGCGUAAAGCGAGGGCAGGCGGUUUCUUAAGUCUGAUGUGAAAGCCUUCGGCUCAACCGAAGAAGUGCAUCGGAAACUGGGAAACUUGAGUGCAGAAGAGGACAGUGGAACUCCAUGUGUAGCGGUGAAAUGCGUAGAUAUAUGGAAGAACACCAGUGGCGAAGGCGGCUGUCUGGUCUGUAACUGACGCUGAGGCUCGAAAGCAUGGGUAGCAAACAGGAUUAGAUACCCUGGUAGUCCAUGCCGUAAACGAUGAGUGCUAGGUGUUGGAGGGUUUCCGCCCUUCAGUGCCGCAGCUAACGCAUUAAGCACUCCGCCUGGGGAGUACGACCGCAAGGUUGAAACUCAAAGGAAUUGACGGGGGCCCGCACAAGCGGUGGAGCAUGUGGUUUAAUUCGAAGCAACGCGAAGAACCUUACCAGGUCUUGACAUCCUUUGACCACUCUAGAGAUAGAGCUUUUCCUUCGGGGACAAAGUGACAGGUGGUGCAUGGUUGUC